rnacentral:tRNA from 1 species
GUCCCGAUAGCUAAGUGGUUAUAGCAUGAGAUUGCAGAUCUCGGGGUCGGGCGUUCAAAUCGCCCUCGGGACU